UGGACCAAUGAUGACGAUCGGUGGCUUUUCUGAGUCAUACACGAUGAAUACUAUGUGUCUGAAACUCUGAGGGCUGA
ensembl:snoRNA